rnacentral:rRNA from 1 species
CGGCCCUACGGGGCGCAGCAGUGGGGGAUAUUGCACAAUGGGGGGAACCCUGAUGCAGCGACGCCGCGUGGGUGAAGAAGCGCCUCGGCGCGUAAAGCCCUGUCAGCAGGGAAGAAAAUGACGGUACCUGAAGAAGAAGCCCCGGCUAACUACGUGCCAGCAGCCGCGGUAAUACGUAGGGGGCAAGCGUUAUCCGGAUUUACUGGGUGUAAAGGGGGCGCAGACGGCGAGGCAAGCCAGGAGUGAAAGCCCGGGGCCCAACCCCGGGACUGCUCUUGGACAUGCGUGGCGGGAGUGCAGGGGGG